GGAGAGGUGACCGAGUGGUCGAAGGUGUACGAUUGGAAAUCGUAUGUGCUCCAAAAGGGCACCGAGGGUUCGAAUCCCUCCCUCUCCGCCA
rnacentral:tRNA from 1 species